GAUUAACGCUGGCGGCGUGCAUAACACAUGCAAGUCGAACGAUGAAGAUUAUUAGACUUCUUCGGAAUGAAAAUAAUUGGAUUAGUGGCGGACGGGUGAGUAACGCGUGAGUAACCUGCCUUACACAAGGGGAUAGCCGUUGGAAACGACGAAUAAUACCCUAUGAAACUAUCACUUCGCAUGAAGCGAUAGUCAAAGUGUUAGCGGUGUAAGAUGGACUUGCGUCUGAUUAGCUAGUUGGUGAGAAAAAAGCCCACCAAGGCAACGAUCAGUAGCCGGCUGGAGAGAGUGUACGGCCACAUUGGGACUGAGACACGGCCCAGACUCCUACGGGAGGCAGCAGUGGGGAAUUUUGCACAAUGGGGGAAACCCUGAUGCAGCGACGCCGCGUGAUUUAGAAGGCCUUCGGGUUGUAAAAAUCUUUUGUAUAGGAAGAAAAUGACAGUACUAUACGAAUAAGGUCCGGCUAAUUACGUG
rnacentral:rRNA from 1 species